rnacentral:rRNA from 1 species
GACGAAGGGGGCUAGCGUUGUUCGGAAUUACUGGGCGUAAAGUGCGUGUAGGCGGUUAUCCAAGUCGGGUGUGAAAGCCUUGAGCUCAACUCAAGAAAUGCACUCGGUACUGGGUGACUAGAGGACCGGAGAGGAUAGUGGAAUUCCCAGUGUAGCGGUGAAAUACGUAGAGAUUGGGAAGAACACCAGUGGCGAAGGCGGCUAUCUGGACGGUUUCUGACGCUAAGACGCGAAAGCGUGGGGAGCAAACAGG